AUGUCUUACACUUACUUGCUUCUAUAUAUGGGACACCAGUCCUUUUUAGUUUUGAAAAAUCAGGGAGGUUGGACUUGUUUUACAUUUUUUCCAUCUGUCAUUGGUUGUGUUUUGAGUGUUACUUCCAGCUUCUGUGCUUUCUUUGCUGAGGACUUGACUUUUGUUAAUAUUAAGUGGAGAUGUAUCUGGAGCACAAAAAUUGGACCCAUCUCUGGAUUCAAACUUCUCCAAAAUUCAGGCACAGCACAAGAUAGAGUUUGUUCAGGCUCAUGUCUGCAUGGAAAAUAUUCAAUCUUGUCUCAAGUCUCAGGUUGUGUAAUAAGUCACAGCAAGGGCAUCUAAUCAUCUCUAGAACGUGACAACAUUUGGUUCAGAUUCCCUUAUCAGCAUCACCUUUCCUUCUGCCUCUGCCUCAUCCUUAAAGAAGACCAGGCGGUGGGCCUUGGAGAUCAGUCACACGUCGACCGCUUCUUCAAACACUUCACGUGGGAAACCGUUCAGAGGCAUGAUUGCUGAGCUGCAGACCUGGAAAAUAACUGUCAUCAAGACCUUUACAUCUGUCAAAGGAAUUUCAGCCCACUGACACCGCUUUGCCCCUACAUUUUUUUUUUAAACUUCAGCAAGACCUUGGAAUUUUAUGACUUAAAAUUGCUACUGUGGUGCAUUAUUUUCUGAGGAGUUCUAUUUCACACAAAUGUUUUAGCCAAGAAUUUGUUACACACCUUGAAAAUGAAAAAGAUAAUUAUUAUAUUGUGUAGGGUAAUUAAGACGAAGCCGUCUGCUUUAUUUCCUUUGUUCCUGUUGAUUUAUGGAAAAACCCACCUUCCUCUCCAGCACAGCUGCAUGCCAACCAAGGAUGGUACAAAUCUGAAAACAGCCUGGAACUGGAGUAGGAACUGAGUUUGGCAGCACUGCAGGCUGUCUUGCACUGACAAGUUCUGCUAAAUAAUAACACUCAGGUAGAUUAUUAAAAGUUUUGUUGAAGAAUCUUGACCUGAUCAUGGCUGGAUGUGGCCCACUGCAGAAAUUCUAAAUUCUGCAGAAUAUAUCUGCAUUAAAAGAUACAGAACCUGUAUUAUACUGACCACUAUUGCGUCUCUUCUUGUUAAACCUUGCAAGAGGCCAACUGAAUUCCUAUCUGAGUGUUUUCACAUGCUAUGUAGUUAAAAUGUAAUGCCAUUUAGAGCUUUACAGAAUACUGUUUUAGUCAUUUGGGAAUUUGUGUGCAGGAAUUUUUAGUUCUUAAGCUGUGCAUGUGUAUAAGCAUGUUUUGUGAAUCUUACAUAAAUAGUUUAAAAGCCCCUUUUUGAGAGUUGUGUUUAUAUAAUAUAGAACUUUUGGU
rnacentral:lncRNA from 1 species